AACAACCUGUGUAUAUGUUUUAUUUUUUUCUUAUUAUUGGAAUGUGUCCUCAGUAAAUUCCUCAAAGAAGGCAGCUGAUAUCACAUUAUGUUCAUAGCAAUUAAAACUAGCACUCUAUUUUCAUUUUAGGAGACUUGAACACAGUGGCAGGGCUGGAAAAGAACUGAGUAAUGCCAAAGAGGAACUUGAACUCAUGGCUAAAAAAGAAAGUCAGUUGGAACUUUCUGCUCUACAGUCCAUGACGGCUGUGCAAGAAGAAGAGCUGCAGGUGCAGGAAGAAGAGUUUCAGGACCUGCAAAUACAACUGAUUUUCCUGAAGACAUGCCAGCUGUGGAAUGCCUGACCCAGGAAGUAUUACUUCUUUGGGAAAAAGUUGCUUCAGUAGAAUCCCAGGAUCAAGAAAUACCAGGAAACCAAAGACAACAGAUAGUAGGCUUUCCCUUAGAACCUGGAAUGGAGUCUUUCCCAUGGAAAGUGCUCAAUAAAUAUGUAUUGAAUGAAUGAAGAAUACUGGUAAUUCCUAUUAUAUGUGUUUCCCUCUUGCCUGUCCCGCUUCCCUCUUACUCCUUUCCCUUAGCUGCUUUCCUGUGCUUCUAGCUUCUCUCUUUUAUUCUUUUUGCUCCUGUGUUUGAAUUCCAACUUACAGGAUUUUAAAGAUUAAAAAAAUA